CGCUGAUGAUGAUGAUGAUGAUGAUGAUGAUGGCUGCGGUGAUGAUGCUCAUGAUCACGAUAACCGUCAUCAUCACCAUCAUCAUCAUCAUCAUCAUCAUCAUCA
rnacentral:pre_miRNA from 1 species